rnacentral:rRNA from 1 species
ACUACGGGCGGCAGCAGUGGGGAAUAUUGGGCAAUGGGCGCAAGCCUGACCCAGCAACGCCGCGUGAAGGAAGAAGGCUUUCGGGUUGUAAACUUCUUUUGUCAGGGACGAAGCAAGUGACGGUACCUGACGAAUAAGCCACGGCUAACUACGUGCCAGCAGCCGCGGUAAUACGUAGGUGGCAAGCGUUAUCCGGAUUUACUGGGUGUAAAGGGCGUGUAGGCGGGGAAGCAAGUCAGAUGUGAAAACCACGGGCUCAACCUGUGGCCUGCAUUUGAAACUGUUUUUCUUGAGUGCUGGAGAGGCAAUCGGAAUUCCGUGUGUAGCGGUGAAAUGCGUAGAUAUACGGAGGAACACCAGUGGCGAAGGCGGAUUGCUGGACAGUAACUGACGCUGAGGCGCGAAAGCGUGGGGAGCAAACAGGAUUAGAUACCCCUGUAGUC